AAGCUACAGGCUUAACACAUGCAAGUCGAGGGGAAACGACAUCGAAAGCUUGCUUUUGAUGGGCGUCGACCGGCGCACGGGUGAGUAACGCGUAUCCAACCUGCCCACCACUUGGGGAUAACCUUGCGAAAGUAAGACUAAUACCCAAUGAUAUCUCUAGAAGAUAUCUGAAAGAGAUUAAAGAUUUAUCGGUGAUGGAUGGGGAUGUGUCUGAUUAGCUUGUUGGCGGGGUAACGGCCCACCAAGGCAACGAUCAGUAGGGGUUCUGAGAGGAAGGUCCCCCACAUUGGAACUGAGACACGGUCCAAACUCCUACGGGAGGCAGCAGUGAGGAAUAUUGGUCAAUGGACGAGAGUCUGAACCAGCCAAGUAGCGUGCAGGAUGACGGCCCUAUGGGUUGUAAACUGCUUUUAUAAGGGAAUAAAGUGAGUCUCGUGAGACUUUUUGCAUGUACCUUAUGAAUAAGGACCGGCUAAUUCCGUGCCAGCAGCCGCGGUAAUACGGAAGGUCCGGGCGUUAUCCGGAUUUAUUGGGUUUAAAGGGAGCGUAGGCCGGAGAUUAAGCGUGUUGUGAAAUGUAGAUGCUCAACGUCUGCACUGCAGCGCGAACUGGUUUCCUUGAGUACGCACAAAGUGGGCGGAAUUCGUGGUGUAGCGGUGAAAUGCUUAGAUAUCACGAAGAACUCCGAUUGCGAAGGCAGCUCACUGGAGCGCAACUGACGCUGAAGCUCGAAAGUGCGGGUAUCGAACAGGAUUAGAUACCCUGGUAGUCCGCACGGUAAACGAUGGAUGCCCGCUGUUGGUCUGAAUAGGUCAGCGGCCAAGCGAAAGCCUUAAGCAUCCCACCUUGGGUGGCGCCGGCAUCGGUGAACUCAAAGGAACAAUGGA
rnacentral:rRNA from 1 species